rnacentral:lncRNA from 1 species
AGAGUAUCAGUCCAGGAGAGUGCCCAGUGCCCACCAGCCAGGAGUCUCUCCAUCUCUCGGGCCUGGAAGGUCUCCCGGAGCCGAGUGGGCUUGCGGGGCAUCUCAAGCAGGAAAGCUCUGGGCAUCCCGGAACUCCAGCAGUCGCGGCCACCGACUACCGAGCUCGCCGGCUGCUGGGGAACGGAGUUCAGGAGGUCGGAGGGGCGACCCCGGCUGGGGAUCCGUGGGUGUCGUGGCUGCAUCUGUGCCAGUGUCGGAGCCGGGAGUGGGCGGAGGAGCCAGGCGGACCGCAGACAGACCCAGCCGGCCCUCCCCGGCCCCGGUCCUGGGUGUGGGGGUGCUCGAGGGCCCCUUCGAAGGCGGGUGGGCGCAGCCAUCCUGGGGAAGCUUCAGGGGGACGUCAGUCUCAGUCGUUUGAGAAGUGGGGCUCGCGACCCGUCACUGGAACGCCUCCCUGGCCCCCUCGGGGGCAGGCGGGAGGAGAAAGGCACAGCGGGCGGACGACCGCACUCUGCGGUGGGCUCUAGGGAGAGCCCCUUCCCCCCAACCGCGCACACCCCCAGCGGGGCGCGGGCCAGGUGGCAGCGCCGGGGCCGGGCUGCGCGGAGGAGGCGGCCUCCCCAGCCAGGGGCGGCGGCAGGGGCGGCCCCGGGAUCACAUGGGCGGAGGCAGGUCCUGGAGCCCCGGGCGGGCUCUCCCCUGAGUCGGGUAGACGGCGGCAGCUGCGGCGGCGGGAGCGGCGGUGUCUCCGCACCUUUCCUCCUUCCCUUCCCUACCGGGCCUGGCCGCCCAGCCCGGAGAGUGAGAGAGCCAGGUGAGCGGGAGCCAGGUGAGCGCGCCCACCUGCGCACCGUCCGCACGGCUGACGAGCUUCUGGAAGCUCCGCAGCUCUGCGCGUCCGCGUCCCCUCUGCGCGGCUUUCUGCGCCCGGCUCCUUCCUCCGCCCACGGCCCCUCUCCCGGCACCUCUCCUAGAAACUGGUGCGCCCCGCGUGCUGGGCUUUCCUGGCCCCGGGCGCUCCUCCUCCGGCCCCCGGCCCGAGGGUACUUUGGCCUCUGA